rnacentral:rRNA from 1 species
AUGGAGCCGGGCGGGCCGUGGCGCGAUCCGCGCCAGGGGUACAUCUACGGGCUCGGAUCGCCGAUGCAGAUGCCGGCGCAGCAGCGCUCCGACCCGGCCGCGGCUGGCGGGGUUCUCAAGCGGAGCCUCGGCGAGUUAGAGAGGUGGCAGCACCAGCGCCAGUUCGCCAUGCAGCAGGAGCUCUACUUGCGCGCCGUCAGGCAGCGCACGGCCGCCACGUCGCCGGCCGUCUCCCCGCUUACGUCGGCGGACAUCGCCGCGGUGCUCGGCGGGGUCCCGGCCCAGCCCUUCUUCUCCGGGUCGAGCCUCGGCGGUGGCCUCGCGUCCCCUUCGUCCACGCUGUCGUCCCUCACGACCGCGUCCAGGGCGGCCAUGCCGCUGAUUCAGCACCAUGUGCAUCGGCAGACGCCGUUAGUGCCGUCCUCGGCGCACGCGCAGACGCAGGCACAGGCGCAUGCUCUCGCGGUGGCGAGGGUGCCGGCUCCCUCGGCGGUUGGGAGCGAGCUGUCCAUCCUGCAGGACUUGGAGAAGCAACUGCUCGGCGACGACGACGAGGCUGAGCCGGCGAUGAGCGGAACCGGUUCUACGGUCACCAGCUCCGAGUGGGAGGAGACCAUACAGCGGCUCAACUCAAUCACGGCCGCUUCGUCUCCUCCACUCUACGCGGAGGCGACUCCGAACAAUAAGAACAACUACAGCGCGGCGAUGACGGGGUCGCCAUCGAACUCGUCCACUUCCACGGCUUCUUCCUCGGCUUCCUGCUCACCGCCAAUCUCGGCCACCACGUCGCGUCAAUUACUCUCCGAAGCAGCGGCUGCCAUCGCCGACGGCAACCUUGAAACGGCGGCCGCUAAUCUGGCAACUCUCAAGCGUGCUGCUAACCCGCGCGGUGACGCGGAACAGCGGCUGGUGGCCGUGAUGGUGGCCGCCCUGUCUUCGCGCAUUGCGCCCACUGCCUCGGCAUCGUCCCAGCAGCUCGCUGACCUCUGCGGCGCCGAGCACCAUACCGGGUCCCAGCUCCUCCACGACAUCACGCCCUGCUUCCGCCUCGCCCUCGACGCCGCUAACAUCGCCAUCGUUGAGGCCGUCGCCGGCCACCGCGUCAUACAUCUGGUGGACUUCGACAUCAACGCCCCGCAGCACGCGGCUCUCAUCCAGCGCCUCGCCGACCGGCGCGUGCCGGGGACAUGCCUGCAGGUGACGGCUGUAACCGAUCCCACCUCACCGUUUACGCAGUCCCUAGCAGCGACGCUGCCCGGCGUCGGGGAGCGGCUCAAGAAGCUGGCGGAGCUCGCCGGCAUAGAGUACCACUUCAGAAUGAUCAGCUGCAGAGCAGUCGAGAUUGAGGCAUCCAAGCUGGGGUGCGAGCCCGGGGAGGCGCUGGCCGUCAACCUCGCCUUCGCGCUCUCGCACGUGCCUGACGAGAGCGUCUCGCCGGCGAACCCCCGCGACGAGCUUCUCCGCCGCGUGCGCGCUCUCGGCCCGCAGGUGGUGACACUCGUGGAGCAGGAGCUGAACUCCAACACCGCCCCGCUGGCCACGCGCUUCUCGGACGCGUACUUGCACUACGGAGCCAUUCUCGAUGCACUGGACUCGACGGUCAGCCGGGAUAGCGCGGACAGGGCGCGGGCAGAGGAGGCGGUGGCAAACAUGUCGGCCAACGCGGUUGGCCGGGAGGGUGCCGAUCGGCUGGAGCGGUGCGAGGUCUUCGGCAAAUGGCGCGCGCGGUUCGGCAUGGCCGGUUUCCGGCCGGUGGCGCUCGCCGCGGGCAUUGCCGACCAGGUCAUGGCGCGCGCCGGCGCUCCCCCGCCAGGCCUCGUCGUGAAACCGGAGAACGGCGUGCUCCGGCUCGGAUGGAAGCAGCGCGUGGUGGCCGUCGCCUCCGCCUGGCGCUAA